rnacentral:rRNA from 1 species
UCAACGGCCGCGGUAUCCUGACCGUGCGAAGGUAGCGUAAUCACUUGUUCUUUAAAUAAGGACUAGUAUGAACGGCACCACGAAGGCUGUACUGUCUCCCGCCUCUAAUCAGUGAACUUAAUCUCCCCGUGAAGAAGCGGGGAUAAAACCAUAAGACGAGAAGACCCCAUGGAGCUUAAAACAAAAGGCACCUGCUAACAACAAAGUUAAACGACUUGACCUGACGUUUUCGGUUGGGGCGACCACGGAGAACAACCCACCCUCCACGCUGAAAGAUGAUAAUCUUAGCCAAAACAACCUAUUUAAGCACCAGAAUCCUGACAUUCAUUGACCCAAUCUAAUUGAUCAACGAACCAAGUUACCCUGGGGAUAACAGCGCAAUCCACUUCAAGAGCCCCUAUCGACAAGUGGGUUUACGACCUCGAUGUUGGAUCAGGGUUCCCAA